rnacentral:rRNA from 1 species
UACGUAGGGGGCGAGCGUUGUCCGGAAUUACUGGGCGUAAAGGGUGCGUAGGCGGCUAAUUAAGUUGGAUGUGAAAUACCCGGGCUUAACUUGGGGGGUGCAUACAAAACUGGUUAGCUAGAGUUCAGGAGAGGGAAGCGGAAUUCCUAGUGUAGCGGUGAAAUGCGUAGAUAUUAGGAGGAACACCAGUGGCGAAGGCGGCUUUCUGGACUGACACUGACGCUGAUGCACGAAAGCGUGGGGAG